rnacentral:rRNA from 1 species
AUUAAACGCUGGCGGCAUGCCUUACACAUGCAAGUCGAACGGCAGCACGGGGGCAACCCUGGUGGCGAGUGGCGAACGGGUGAGUAAAGCAUCGGAACGUGCCCUGGAGUGGGGGAUAACGUAGCGAAAGUUACGCUAAUACCGCAUAUUCUGUGAGCAGGAAAGCAGGGGAUCGCAAAGGCCUUGCGCUCUGGGAGCGGCCGAUGUCGGAUUAGCUAGUUGGUGGGGUAAAAGGCCUACCAAGGCGACGAUCCGUAGCGGGUCUGAGAGGAUGAUCCGCCACACUGGGACUGAGACACGGCCCAGACUCCUACGGGAGGCAGC